AUGUUACAGCCCAUAACAGCUGCAGCCUUGACUAUUAAAUCUCAAAGGGAAUAAAAAAGUCGCCUGACAGUUAAAGCAGAGGACUACACUUGGGGCCAAGAAUAUGGGCUACUUCAUAUGGAAGAACUCCAGCAACCGGGAGGUAGCUCAUCAGAACGUUAGGCAUUUCUGCUACCAGGAGACACCUGGACCCUGUAAGGCUGUGAGCUGAUUCUGGGAACUUUGCCAUCAGUGGCUGAGGCCAGAGACCCACACCAAAGAACAGAUCCUGGAAUUGCUGGUGCUGGAGCAGUUCUUGACUAUCCUGCCAGAGGAGCUCCAAGCCCGGAUGUUAGAGCAUCAGCCGGAGAACAGAGAGGAAAUGGUGAUCAUAUCGGAGGAUUUGGAAAGAGAGCUUGAUGAAACAGAAUAUCGGGUGU
rnacentral:lncRNA from 1 species